CAUAGGGGCGGAAGCGGAAGUGGAGCUGGGACGGUGAGGGGGCUGGACUGCCGCGUCCCCAGCGGUCUUGGCGCUGAGGGGCGGCGGCCAGCGCGAUGGAGAAACGCAGGAUGAACCUGCCCACCGGGCCGGACACGCUGUGCUUCGAUAAGGAUGAAUUCAUGAAGGAGGACUUCGAUGUGGACCAUUUUGUGUCUGACUGCAGGAAGCGGGUGCAGCUGGAGGAGCUGAGAGACGACCUGGAGUUGUAUUACAAGCUGCUCAAGACAGCCAUGGUGGAGCUCAUCAACAAGGACUAUGCCGACUUCGUCAACCUCUCAACAAACCUGGUCGGCAUGGACAAAGCCCUCAACCAGCUUUCUGUGCCUUUGGGACAACUACGGGAAGAGGUUCUGAGUCUGAGGUCAUCAGUCAGUGAAGGAAUUCUGGCAGUAGAGGAACGGAUGUCUAAGCAAGAUGACAUCAGGAAGAAGAAGAUGAGCGUGCUGAGACUUAUACAAGUCAUUCGAUCGGUUGAGAAAAUUGAAAAAAUCUUGAACUCCCAAAGUUCUAAGGAUGCGUCCUCACAAGAAGCAAGCAGCCCACUCUUGACUGGACAGGUUUUGGAGAGAAUUGCCACAGAGUUUAACCAGCUUCAGUUUCACGCUGUGCAAAGCAAGGGCAUGCCCCUUUUGGACAAAGUGAGACCCCGCAUAGCUGGGAUCACAGCCAUGCUGCAGCAAUCUCUGGAAGGCCUCCUACUAGAGGGCUUGCAGACCUCAAAUGUGGACAUCAUCCGCCAUUGCCUGCGGACCUACGCCACCAUUGACAAGACACGGGACGCAGAAGCUCUGGUCGGCCAAGUCCUGGUGAAGCCAUAUGUCAGUGAGGUGAUUGUUGAGCGGGUCGUUGAUUCUCAUCCCAGUGGCCUGCAGCUCAUGUACAACAAACUCCUGGAAUUCGUCCCUCACCACUGCCGCCUUCUCCGGGAAGUCACAGGAGGAGCUGUGUCAAGUGAGAAAGGCACUAUCGUUCCUGGCUAUGAUUUCUUGGUGAAUUCUGUGUGGCCGGAAAUAGUUGGAGGACUAGAGGAAAAGCUACCCUCACUUUUCAACCCUGGGGACCCUGACGCCUUUCACCAGAAAUACACGGUGAGCAUGGACUUCGUGAGGAGGUUUGAGCGGCAGUGUGGAUCCCAGGCCAGCGUAAAGCGACUGCGAGCCCAUCCUGCCUACCACAGCUUCAGCAACAAGUGGAACUUGCCUGUCUACUUCCAGAUAAGGUUCAGAGAAGUGGCAGGAUCCUUAGAAGCAUCCCUCACAGAUGGGCUAGAAGACGCCCCAGCUGGAAGUCCGUAUUGCCUUCUGGCUUCUCACAGAACAUGGAUCAGUCUGAGCAAAUGCUGGUCCGAUGAGAUGUUCCUGCCUUUGUUGGCACAUCGUCUGUGGAGGCUCACGCUGCAGAUUCUGGCCCGAUUCUCUGUGUUUGUCAGUGAGCUUUCUGUCAGGCCCAUCUCUAAUGAAACUGCCAAGGAGACUAAAAAGCCUUUGGCAGGCAGCAAAGACCCUUCGGACGACCAUGGAAGCCAUCCUUCAGAAGCAGGCGCUGUGCCCAUCUCCAGCACUCAGCUGGUGUAUGUGGUCUCAGACCUGGGCAGGCUGCAGGAAUGGCUUCCAGACCUCCUGGAGACAGUCAGGCUGAAACUUGAGAUGGUCGGCUUUAAGAAUUUCUCAUCUAUCUCAGCGGCCCUGGAAGACUCCCAGAGUGCCUUGUCUGCCCAUGUGCCAGCUCUGAGUAGCAGGAUUGUGCAGGACCUGAGCGAGUCUUGCUUCGGUUAUCUGAAGAGUGCCCUGGAGGUGCCCAGGCUUUACCGCAGGACCAAUAAGGAGGUCCCCAGCACAGCCUCUUCAUAUGUGGACAGUGCCCUGAAGCCACUGUACCAGCUUCAGAGUGGACAUGGGGACAAGGUGCAGCCAGCAGUGAUGCAGCGCUGGCUACAGGAAGCUCUGUCUGACAGCACACACAAGUACUUUGAGACUGUGUCAGACGUGCUGAGUUCAGUGAGGAAGAUGGAGGAAAGCCUGAAGCGCCUCAAACAAGCCAGGAGAUCCCCGGCCACCAACCCUGUCAGCUCCAGUGGCGGCAUGAGUGAUGACGACAAGAUCCGACUGCAGCUGGCUCUGGACGUGGAGCACCUGGGAGAACAGAUCCAAAAGAUGGGCUUGCAGACCAGUGACAUCAAGAGCUUCCCGGCCCUCACGGAGCUUGUCCUUGCCGCCAGGGACCAGGCAGCUGCAGAGCAGCCCUAGGCGUCCUGGAGUGGGGAAAAAAGCAACCCUUGUCCUCCGAGUCACCUAGCAACAGCCUGCACCGCUGCCCACGUGUGGGGCCGUCUUUCACCCAGAAAGAACCAAAGCUUUUCCAUCGUAUGGAAGAGAUGCUCUCCAAAGAAGUUGCAGAUCAGGGCAUCGAGGCAUCCCCGUCCUAAUCUACCUCAGCUUCGUGGAGGAUGCAAAGCUGGACUAAGCAGGAACAGAGAUGCCAAGAGAGCUGAGGGAGACUGCUGUGACCCAUGCCACUGGGAGCCAGAGAGCCCUGGCAGUGCCUACUGGGCCUGCUCUUUCCUUCCUGCCCUGCUGACCCUGCGCAUAGCUUCCUCCAUGUGGCCAUCCGCCUGCCCGCCCUCCCCUGAGACACAGCCAGGGCAGCACUCACCUCUCCCACUCGGGGGUUGGUGUCACCCAUCUUGCCCAGAUUUGCCUCAGCACCCAAAAGGGUAGACAGCUUGGCCUGAGCCAGCAGGUCCUGCAGGUUGUAGGAUCCCCGAAUUUCCAGCUGCGGCAGGGUCAGACGGAUGGCCCUGUGGAGAUAAUGCCUUUAGGGUGCUGGGGAGCUCCCACCCACUGAGAAAGGAGAGUAACUGCUCAGCCAGCCAGUGUUGUGCAGCUGUGUCCCGAGUUGAAACAGUUGCAUAAGACACAUCUGGAAGCUGGGAGAGCCACGGGUUCCUCCCCGAAUUGUAUAAACAGGAAAUAGUGGAUGGGGUAGGAGGACUGGUAGAGAUGCCUCAGGUUGUUCAGGGAGCUCCAAGGAUGCAGCUUCCACGGGUGGUCGCCCAUGCUGCCUCACGGAGGUAACCACAAUGAAUGUUCUGAAUGACCGAAUCCUACUCGGAGGGAAUUGAUUCUUCGCUCCGAAGUCCCUGCCCUAUCUGGGGUGAAUACAUAUUUGCUUGCGUAUAUGCCCAGACGGGCCACACAACACAGGACGUUGUCACCCCAAGGAACUUCUUGGAAACAAACACAACAAAACCUCCUGAAACAGGAGGAGAACCUGGAACAUCUACUGUGGAGAGCUCGGGGCUGGUGGGCAGCUGUCUGCCCUUCGUUCUCAGCCCGGCUGCGUGAGGAACACCUUCCCUGGAAAAGCCAAAGAUGCUUUUGAGUAACUGGCUAUUAGCCUGACAGACAGAGCACCUCAACCCUAUCAUCCAGGCGCUUGAGAAGCAGAGGUGGGGGAAUUACCACAAACUCUAGAUGCUCUCUAAAAACCAAAAUGCUAAUGAGAUAGUGCCCACCCCUGCUGGAUAGUUUUAUGUCAACUUGACACAAGCUAGAGUCUCAACUAAGAGAGCGCCUCCUUUAAGAUCAGGCUGUAGGCAGGCCUGUAGGGCAUUUUCUUAAUUAAUGAUUGAUGGGGGGAGGGGCCAGCCCAUAGUGGGUGGUUCCACCCUGGAAUGGUGGUCCUGUUUCUAUAAUAAAGCAGGCUGGCCAAGCCAGGAGGAACAAGUCAGUGAACAGCGCCCCUCCAUGGCCUCUGCAUCAGCUCCUGCUCCCAGGUUCCUGCCGUUUGAGUUCCCGUCUUGUCUUCCUUCAGUGAUGGGCUAUGAUCUAGAAGUGUAAACCAGAUAAACCCUUUCCUCCCCAACUUGCAUUUUGGUCACGAUGCUUCCUUGCAGCAAAUAUUAACCCUAAAAACAGCCCCAGUUGGGUCCUUGCCUCCCCGUGGAGGAAGGUAGUAUCCGUAACCUCACAGAUAACAGCCAUACCCGCAACCACACUGCUCCCGAUGGCAGGAUGUGGGAGGGGUGGUGACAGGACAGACCUGGACAGGCUGACGUGUGAGCGUGCAUUGGAUGCAAAUCUACUUCCCAAGGGUCCCACAUGCUUCCUACCGAGGAGGCGGGUUCUUUAUCCAAGUCAGGAAGUCGUGCUGGAAGACGAGGACCUCCACCCUGUCGAGAUCUGAGGCGCACUGGGGCUGGAUCAGCAGCAGGGUGACACUCUCACCCAGGGGCACGCGUGUCACGGAGAAGUUGUUCUGGGCGUCACUCCAGUGCUGGAAGUUGCCAGUGCCCGAGAGCAUGGGCACAGACACUGAGGUGCUGUUGUCCACCCAGAACUCAUGGAGCCCAGUCAGCUGGGAGAAGCCUCUCAUCUUCCCUGAAAGCAACAGAGACCAAAGGAAACUCAACGGGGGUAGGAUGGGGAGGCAGGGCUGGGACUCUUCCACCCUGGCUCCUGCCUCAGCUUCCUCACCUCUACUCCCUCUGUGAUGCUGUACUGACCUGGAGAUGUCACCUUCAGGUGCUCUCUGAUGCUACUUCUAAUUGUAGCCACUUGAGUUCCCUGCAGAGACCCCAAGAGCAGCAAAAAACACAGCCCAUGUUGGUGUGGAGUCUGAGGUCUCACAUGGGACACCCGAGGGACUCAGUCUGCUCCUACCUGAACAGACAAGCUCAACCCAGACCUGUUCUGGUUUGCAAACUCACUCUUUAGAACCUCAGACAUUAUUAUGGUCUGGAGAGAUGGCUCCAUGGUAACUUGGCUCUAUAGGCCUGAUGACCUGCACCUACAGCCCCAGUCCCUCGUAAGAGCCAGGCAUUGGGCUGGAGAAAUGACUCAGCGGUUAGGAGCACUGACUGCUCUUCCAGAGGUCCUGAGUUCAAAUCCCAGCAACCACAUGGUGGUUCACAACCAUCUGUAAUGGGAACUGAUGCCCCCUUCUGGUGUGCAAGUGUACCUGCAGGCAGAACUCUAUACAUAAUAAAUAAAUGAAGAAAAAAGAAAUGAGAAAUGUGAAACAGGA